AAAAUUGGAAAGUCCCCCUUUUUUAAGCAUAAAAAUUCAUAACACGGAAAUGUAAAAUCUGAAAUUUAUAAAAAUUGAAAAGGAGCUUACAUCAAUAGAUAUAAACAAUUCACCAAAGUUUCAUGGACAUUGGUGAAAGCCUUUUUGAGUUAUUGUCCGAAGUGUUGAAAAUUCCCCUUUUUUUUAUGAAUAAAGCCCCAUAAAUCCAAAACUUAAAAUCUGAAAUUUAUAAAAAUUGAAAGGGAGCUUACAUCAAUAGAUAUAAACAAUUCACCAAAGUUUCAUGGACAUUGGUGAAAGCCUUUUUAGCUCACCUGGCCCGAAGGGCCAAGUGAGCUUUUCCCAUCACUUGGCGUCCGUCGUCCGUCGUCCGUCGUCGUCGUCGUCGUCCGUCGUCGUUAACUUUUACAAAAAUCUUCUCCUCUGAAACUACUGGGCCAAAUUAAUCCAAACUUGGCCACAAUCAUCAUUGGGGUAUCUAGUUUAAAAAAUGUGUGGCGUGACCCGGCCAACCAACCAAGAUGGCCGCCAUGGCUAAAAAUAGAACAUAGGGGUAAA
rnacentral:lncRNA from 1 species